rnacentral:tRNA from 1 species
GCCACCGUAGCUCAGUGGUAGAGCAGCUGUUUCGUAAACAGCAGGUCACCCGUUCAAAUCGGGUCGGUGGCUCCA